GAUGAACGCUGGCGGCGUGCCUAAUACAUGCAAGUCGAGCGAACAGAUGAGGAGCUUGCUCCUCUGACGUUAGCGGCGGACGGGUGAGUAACACGUGGAUAACCUACCUAUAAGACUGGGAUAACUUCGGGAAACCGGAGCUAAUACCGGAUAAUAUAUUGAACCGCAUGGUUCAAUAGUGAAAGACGGUUUUGCUGUCACUUAUAGAUGGAUCCGCGCCGCAUUAGCUAGUUGGUAAGGUAACGGCUUACCAAGGCAACGAUGCGUAGCCGACCUGAGAGGGUGAUCGGCCACACUGGAACUGAGACACGGUCCAGACUCCUACGGGAGGCAGCAGUAGGGAAUCUUCCGCAAAGGGCGAAAGCCUGACGGAGCAACGCCGCGUGAGUGAUGAAGGUCUUCGGAUCGUAAAACUCUGUUAUUAGGGAAGAACAAAUGUGUAAGUAACUAUGCACGUCUUGACGGUACCUAGUCAGAAAGCCACGGCUAACUACGUG
rnacentral:rRNA from 1 species